AACAUCUAGAGUUGAGUACAUAGAGACAAUAAAGUAAAUCAUCAUAAAUUGGGUUAUACAAUUAGAACACAUCUCGUUCAAAAUACGUAAAAAGGCUUAUGAAUCUCAUAAACAUUUAGGCUUGUGCCAUAAAUCCAUUCUCGGGGACACCUUGGCUGAGGCAUCCUACCGAGACCGCCAAGGCUAUUAAAAUUCACAUUUCACAUAAAUCAUGUUUUUGUUUUGAAAACAUAACCAUUCCUUGGCGUUGGCUGAGUUCUCCCUCACGUGGUGGUUUAGCGUGAAGUGAACCCUAAACUUUACCCCAGGAGAUACCCUACGUGCUUCUCCGUUCGAGGUAAGAAUAUAAUGGGGUUUACCGUGCCCCUCUAAAAGGCUGGUCCACAGAAACCCCCUACUGUAGUGAUUAAUUAAUAUAUAAUCCACCGUAUAAUAAAACUCAAUAACAUGAUUAUGGCAAUUUUGAAAUUCGCAAUUUUUCAAGGAACCAAACAAUUCGCAUUUCAAUACAAUUGCCAACUAGCCAAUCAUGCUCGAUUUAUCAUAAGCCAGUUAAUUUAAACAAUCAAAUUGCCACAAUUAACAGUCUCCGUGUACUCUAUUUUUCAAAAUCACUAUUAAUUUCAAAACAAUUUAUAAUUUAAUUUCAUUGAAACUCAUUUAUUCAUAAAACAUGAAAAUUUAUCUUUUUAAAUUCCUUUUUCCAUAGAAUUCAUGAAAGCAUCUAAAAACCACCCUAGAUAAUUAAAAUGACAGUAAGUUUACUCACAAUGUCUAGAAUGCAGACUUUCGAAGCACUCUGUCUACUGGUCCUCGGAUGCAAUUUCCUUGCCUUUAUCGGAGGACUCACCACCUUGACACAGUACAAAAUCGAGAGUUUCACCAAGUUGGUACUAAAUCAAAAUUAAACUAAUUUAGACUACCAAUGCAUGAUAUGGAAUGCAAAAAUGCACUGGUAACUAUCUAAACCCGGUAUUGGCCUAAUUCGUCUUAUCACCCGAUUAAAUUCCUAACGGGUCCGUUUAAACUCCAAUUUAAUUCUUUUCAGUUUCUAUACCUCAAUUGCACCCAAAUUAACUUAAUGUCCCUCAGUGUGGUGCAAAUUAUCAGUCCCAACAGCAAAUUACGAAAAUACCCCUAGUGGGUAAAAAUUUGUAUUUUUGCUCCGAAAAUUCCCAUUAUUUUUCUAGGCUCAUAAUUCAUUAUUCCUUAACCAAUUCUCCUAGAAUAAAAUCAAACUCAUCCUCACUCACUACAUGGUAAAUUCAGCCAUUAAUGGUUGGGGGAGAAAAUAAAUUCUUUUCUUGUUGUUUUGUUUCUAAAUAUGCUAAACUAACUAAAAACACUAACAUAAAUUAAAAUCAAAUAAAUCCAACAACUUUCUCUCUCCUAACCCAUUUUUUCAGAAUUGAAUUCAUCAUGAAAACAUGUAAUUUAAUCAUGGAAAAUAAAGAGAAAUGCUUGGGAAUAAGAAAACUCAAGCUUAAUAGAAAAAAUCUCACCUUUUUCACUUAAUUUCCUUGAAAAUUCACACUUUUUCUUUGAUUUUCUCUCUCUAGGGUUUUGUUUUUGUUUUCUCUCUCUUCUUGCUGGUUUGGCCGGCCAUGGGGUGGAAGAUGAGCUGAUUUUUGUGCCUUUUAAAAAGGAAAAUAAUAAAUUAAUAAAGGCAUGACACGUGGCAUCAUGACAUUGGUCCGUUUUUAAAAUUUUAAAAAUUUAAACAUGUUAUCUCCACCACAUGAUUAGUCAAGGGUCAAAGAUGAAGAUAAAGGAAGACCAUGUGCUGGAAAAUAUCCUGGUGGUGGAAAAUUACAAUUUUACCCCUGAGGUCGUAAAAUUACCAUUUUACCCUUUUACUCCAAAUUAUACCGAAAUUAAAAUUUUUCACUUCUAAACCUCAAAUUAUACUCCAAUAAGUCAAAUGGGGUCAAAAAAAUCUUUUUUAAAAUUCUCAUUUUGUCCCCAAGUGGCAAAUGACCAUUUUACCCCUGGUUAGUGAAAAUUCCGAUUUGACUCCAAAUUGAUCCUCAAACUCCAAAUUACCAUUUUAAGUCAUCCAUGAGUUGUGAAACUCUUAAUCUCACCUUAAAAUUCCUAUUUGAUCUAGUUCGAUGAUUAAAUAAACUUUGUUGUACUUGUAGGUACAACACUGACUUUUGUAAAUUUUUUUCGGGACUCUCCUAGCAUGCAAUCAUGCUAUCAUCACAUGUAUGUCAUGAAUAGUAUUUUAUAAGGUCGGGCUUUACAGCACUACCCCCUUUAAAAUAAAAUUUUGACCUCAAAAUUUUACUUACCGGAUUCGAAGAAAAGAUGUGAAUAUUGGUUUCUCAUAUGGCUCUCGACUUCCCACGUCAUCUCCUCCAUUCGAGCAUUCUUCCACAAUACUUUCACCAUUGGAAUGCUCUUGUUCCUUAGCACUCGAUCCUUUCGAUCUAGAAUACGUACAGGCUGCACCUCGAACUUCAAAUCCUCAUGCAACUCAAUGGGAGGUGUCUCUAAAAUGUGAGAGGGAUCGGGAACAUACUUUUUGAACAUGGAGACAUGGAAGACAUUAUGAAUCCGAUCUAACUUUGGGGGUAAUUCAAGUCUGUAAGCCACUGGCCUAAUCCUUUCAAUGAUACGAAAAGGUCCAAUGUAUCUUGGAUUGAGCUUUCCCCUCUUCGCGAAUCAAAUCACACCUUUCAUCAUCCAAUAAAUACCACAAAUUAUCACAAUAGUAUAAUCAAAUAAGAUUUAAUACUCGAAAUUUUCAAAUUAUUACCUUUCCAAGGAGAAACCUUAAGGAAAACUUUAUCGUCAACUUCAAACUUCAAAUCUUUCCUUCGUUUAUCCGAAUAAUUCUUUUGCCUAUCUUGAGUUGUCUUUAAUCGCUUUCGGAUAACUUUGACCUUAUCGUUUGUCAAAUCAAUCAAUUCCACAUUCACCAAUUUCCUCUCACCUACUUCAUCCCAACAGAUCGGAGUUCGGCAUUUCCUUCCAUACAAAGCCUCGUAUGGUGCCAUCCCAAUACUAGACUGAAAACUGUUAUUAUAAGCAAACUCCACUAAUGGCAAGUGUCUGUCCUAACUCCCGAUAAAGUCAAUGACACAAGCCCGUAACAUAUCCUCUAAUGUCUAAAUAGUUCUCUCAGAUUGACCAUCUGUUUGUGGAUGAAAGGCAGUACUAAAUCUCAAUUUAGUUCCAAGAGCUUCCUGAAAUUUCGGCCAAAAUCGAGAAGUAAAUCGAGGGUCUCGAUCUGACACAAUAGAAACCGGAACUCCAUGUAAUCUCACAACCUCAUCUAUAUAAAGUCUUGCCAGCCUCUCAAUAGAAUAUGUGCUAUGGAUAGCCAAGAAAUGGGCGGACUUAGUCAAUCUAUCCACAAUCACCCAAAUAGCAUCCUUCCCACUUUGUGUCCGCGGUAAAUCCAAUACAAAGUCCAUAGUCACGUGUUCCCACUUCCAUUCAGGAAUUGGUAAAGGCUGAAGAGUACUGACGGUUUUUGAUGCUUCGCCUUGAUCAGUUGGCAUGUGAGACAUUUCGCUACAAACUCUGCUAUGUCUCGUUUCAUACUCGACCACCAAUAACUUUCUUUAAUAGUCCGAUACAUCUUGGUGCUUCCGGGAUGUAAAGCGUAGGCGGAAGAAUGAGCUUCCUCCAAAAUAGCUCGUCUCAAUUGAUCAUCCUUAGGGACACAAAUUCGGUCUCUAAGUAUCAAAGUACCAUCAUCCCUGAGUCUAAACUCACUAGCUUCUCUAUCUUGCAACUUUUGAACUUUCUGCUUCAACCAAUCAUCAGAUUUCUGCAAUUCUCUUAUCUGAUUCAACAAUGAAGGUCUCACGACGAAACUAGCAAGUAGGGUUCCAUCCUCACCAUUAUUCAACUAGAUCCCUAGAGAUUUCAUCUCAAGUAACAUCGGAAAAUAAGAACUUUGAAGUGUUGCUAACGACGAUGAGGAUUUACGACUUAAGGCAUCCGCUACAACAUUUGCUUUUCCCGGAUGAUAAUCAAUCACUAAGUCAUAAUCCUUAAUCAACUCCAACCAUCGUCUCUGUCUCAAGUUAAGCUCUUUCUAGGUGAGCAAAUACUUCAAACUCUUAUGAUCAGUAAAAAUUCGGCAACGCUCACCAUCUAAAUAAUGUCUUCAAAUCUUCAAUGCAAAGACUACUGCUGCUAACUCCAAGUCUUGAGUAGGGUAAUUCGUUUCGUGCUUCUUCAACUGCCGGGAAGCAUAAGCUAUUACCUUCUGGUCCUGCAUCAACACACACCCUAAUCCCAACUUAGAUGCAUCGCUAUAUACCACAAAUUCUUUUCCACUAACAGGAAGUGUUAAAACAGGAGCGGAUGUUAAUCGGUUCUUUAGCUCUUGAAAUCGAUUCUCACAAACUUCAUCCCACUCAAACUUAACUCCUUUACGAGUCAAACGAGUCAGAGGAGCUGCUAUCAAAGAAAAUCCCUAAACAAAUCUCCGAUAAUAACAGGCUAAGCCAAGAAAACUACGAAUCUCUGUAACUGUUCUUGGUUGCUCCCAUUGUAAGAUUGCCUCUAUCUUCUUGGGAUCGACAUAAAUUCCAGCUCCGGACACCACAUGUCCCAAGAAAACCACUUCCUUCAACCAGAAUUCACAUUUAGAGAACUUGGCAUAGAGUUGUCUCUCGCGCAAAGUUUGCAACACAAUGCGCAAAUGGGCAGCAUGUUCAUCAUCAUUCUUCGAAUAAACCAGGAUGUCAUCGAUGAAUACUAUCACAAACUUAUCCAAGUAUGGAUGGAACACCCUGUUCAUAAGAUCCAUAAAAACUGCCGGGGCAUUAGUCAAACCAAACGGCAUCACCAGAAACUCAUAAUGCUCAUAACGCGUCCUGAAGGCAGUCUUAGGUACAUCCUGCUCCUUAAUCCUCAACUAAUAGUACCCAGAUCUCAAAUCAAUCUUAGAGAAUACCAUAGCACCUCGUAAUUGAUCAAAAAGAUCAUCUAUCAGAGGUAAAGGGUAUUUAUUCUUGAUGGUAACUCGGUUCAGCUGACGGUAAUCGAUACACAAUCGAAGAGUCCAUCCUUCUUCUUUACAAAUAGGACUGGUGCUCCCCAAGGAGAAAUGCUGGGGCGAAUGAAACCUUUAUCCACCAAAUCUUGCAAUUGGACUUUCAGUUCCUUCAACUCUGCUGGAGCCAUUCUAUAUGGAGGAAUAAAAAUAGGUGUGGUACCCGGAAGUAAAUCAAUAGGAAACGCAAGCUCUCGAUCAAGAGGUAGUCCCGGUAAAUCAUCAAGAAAUACAUCAAGAAACUCACUUACUAUUGGGACAUCCUCUAACUAAGGUUCCCCCUUUGAAGUAUCGAUCACGUAUGCCAAAUAAGUUAGAUACCCUUUUUUCACUAAUUUCGAAGCUUUGAUGGCUGAGAUUACACAAGAUGGUAAUACUCAACGUUCCCUUACAAACACAAUCUCUUCUCCCUCUAAAUUCCGAAGAACAACUUCUUUUUGGAAACAAUCCACAUUCGCCAGAUGUGCAGUUAACCAGUCCAUACCUAAUAUUAAAUCAAAAUCCAAGAUCUCUAGAGGAAUUAAGUCACCACUAAAUUCUUCCUCACCUACCCUUACCCCAUAGUCUCUAUAACAAGUAUUUCUAAUCAAUUGUUCUCCUAGAGGGGUAUGCACUACAAUUUCUCCCUCUAAUAGUGACAGGUUUCUAUCAGCAAUUGAUGCAAAUGUCGUACUCACAUAAGAUCUAUCUGAGCUAGAAUCUAUCAAAACAUAAGCAUCUUUAUCAAAUAAAGACAUAGUACCUGUCACUGCUCCAGGUCGGACCUGUGCCUCAUCUUCUGUCACAGCAAAAACUCUUAUCGCGGUACAAGUCGGUGGUCUCGAAGGUGGAUGUGUCGGGGUAUUACUCUCCACACCGGACCGUAUGGCUACUUCCUGUCUCGGUGGUAACCCAGAAGAAUCUCUCUUCUGCAUAUCAGUGCGAGCUGGUGGAGAUGAUGCAGCUACAGUGGCUCGUCCUAACUGUGGGUAAUUACUCCUAAUAUGACCCGUUUGUCCACAUUGGAAACAUCUUGUUGUCCCUCUACAUAGCCCACUAUGAUAAUUCUCACAAUUUCUGCAUCUGUCAGAACCUCCGGAACUCUUUCCAGAACCAGUCAUAGCAGAUCUGCUAAACCUCGAAGGUCUCUGCUGUGAUGGUGGAAAUGGAGGUCGAGGAAAUGUCACGAAAACAGAAGUAGUGCUUCUUGAAGUCGUUGAGUCCUUGCCUCUUUUUACUGGCUGACUAGAAGACAUACCAGGAUUCCUCCUUUUUGCAAACUCAGUCUGAAUCCUCCUAUUCUCAGUCACGAGCUUCUCAGCCCGUAAAGCCAUCUGUACCACCUCCUUAUGUGGCUCCCUACCAGUCAUUGUCAUUCGCUCUCUAAUCUCAUUACGGAGCCCUUCCUCGAAAUAGCUGACCUGAUCCUGCUCAGAUUUCACCAGAUCCAGCACAUAUAACAUCAACUCGUUAAAACGAGUCUCGUACUCUUCUACAGUUAGAUUUCCCUAUUUCAAACUAAGAAAUUCUCUCUUCUUUUCUUUCUGAUGAAAAUAAGUGAAAUACUGACCAUCGAAUUCCCUGAGAAAAUCGGACCAUGUCUGAGGAGUAGCAGAACGGGACUUCACCGAAUUCCACCAAGUACGAGCCCUUCUCUCUAAUAAUCUCGUAGCCACCAUCAGCUUCAUGUCGUCGUCUAAUCCCAUAUCAGAAAGAGUAUCUGAAACUUGAUUAAUCCAGUCCUUUGCCACAGUGGCAUCCAACUCACCCGUGAAAGAUACACAGCCCAAUUGCCUAGCCUCCUUCAGUUUCUUGGAUAUGGAUACAUCCUGUACUGGUGGUGAAACUAAAGGAGUAGCUAGAGGCACUACAGGUGGAACUUGACCAGCCAUUGCGGCAAAGAAAGCUGCAAAUGCUUAUGCUGCCUCAGUAGGCAUGGCGGGAAUACCCGUAGGUGGCUGAGGAGAUGGAGGAUGUGGAGGACUAUCGGCCUGCUCAGCAGCAGGUGCUGCCCGAAUGGUAGAUGCAGUUGAUUCCUCCUCUACUUUAUCUGGCUGAUGACGUUGGGAAUGACCUUUUCCCCUCCAAACCAAUCUAGUGAGAGGUGGGCAUCCGCGUCGAGGAGGCAUUGUAAUCUAUAAAAGAAAAUACGAGCAAGUUUAGGUAACCUUAGGCUCUAUAUGCAGAUGCAUGCAUUCUAUUCAACUUAACCUAACUUAACUUAAUCCGGGGCCACACUGAUAUUGUAAAUUUUCAAAAUAACUUUAAAACUAAAAACUUUGAUCUUUAAAACCAAAAACUCUGAUACCAAUCGAAUUGUCAAAACCCGGUACUCCGCUCGAGCCCGUGACAACAGCCGCGGUGUCCUGGUAGACACUCAUUACUCGGAAUGUGAACCCGAAACCCCGCAAGGCUUUACUAUCAGUUUUUCUAUUCCCUUGUGAGCAACCAUUGUCAAAUAUCGUGUUCUAAAAGAUUUUAAGUUGUUUCCAACUUUAAACAAAUAAAAUAUUAAUUUUUUUAUCUUACAGGGGUAUUUUGGUCAUUUUUCUGAAAGAUUUCGAAACUGGCUAAAAUGUAAUAUGCAAGUACAAAACAGAUAAUUCAUAUUCAAAAUGAGUUUAAAAGUCUAAAAUCUUCAUUUAAAACGAAAUUAUGGUUAUUUGAAUAUAAUAAGAAAAUAAAAGAAAUAUUAAGCAAAAUAUUCUAUUUUAUGAUAAAACAAUAUUUAUAUAGUUAUACGUGAAUAAUUUUAUAGCGUAAAAGCUAAAUAAAUUAAUACAUACUUAAAUACAGUAAGCCAAAAUAUUUAAUUUAAUUUACAAUAACAAGAGGGUCCCCGAAUAAACAAAAGUAAAGAGGACUGUGAACCUACGGUUUGGAAAAUGCAGAUCCCACUGUAGUCCUCGAUGAGAUCAGCUAUCUACAGUCUAUACUGAACCUGAAAUGGGUAGAAAUGAGGGUGGUGAGAUUAUAAAAUCCCAAUGAGUAAAUAGACAUCAUCAUAAACAUCUAGAGUUGAGUACAUGGAGACAAUAAAGUAAAUCAUCAUAAACUGGGUUAUACAAUUAUAACACAUCUCGCUCAAAAUACGUAAAAAGGUUUAUGAAUCUCAUAAACAUUUAGGCUUGUGCCAUAAAUCCAUUCUCGGGGACACCUUGGCCAAGGCAUCCUACCGAGACCGCCAAGGCUAUUAAAAUUCACAUUUCACAUAAAUCAUGCUUUUGUUUGGAAAACAUAGCAAUUCCUUGGCGUUGACUGAGUUACCCAUCACGUCGUGGUUUAGCGUGAAGUGAACCCUAAACUUUACCCAGGAGAUACCCUACGCACCUCUCCGUUCGAGGUAAGAAUAUAAUGGGG
rnacentral:lncRNA from 1 species